rnacentral:rRNA from 1 species
AUUGAACGCUGGCGGCAUGCCUUACACAUGCAAGUCGAACGGCAGCACGGGGCAACCUGGUGGCGAGUGGCGAACGGGUGAGUAAUGCAUCGGAACGUGCCAUUGAGUGGGGGAUAACGUAGCGAAAGUUGCGCUAAUACCGCAUAUUCUGUGAGCAGGAAAGCAGGGGACCGCAAGGCCUUGCGCUCUUUGAGCGGCCGAUGUCAGAUUAGCUAGUUGGUGAGGUAACGGCUUACCAAGGCGACGAUCUGUAGCGGGUCUGAGAGGAUGAUCCGCCACACUGGAACUGAGACACGGUCCAGACUCCUACGGGAGGCAGCAGUGGGAAUUUUGGACAAUGGGCGCAAGCCUGAUCCAGCCAUGCCGCGUGAGUGAA